rnacentral:tRNA from 1 species
GCGCACUUAGCUCAGUGGUUAGAGCACCCUUCUAGAGUUUUGGGAAAACAGGUCACGGGUUUGAGUCCCAUAGUGCACA